GAUGAAGAACGUAGCGAAAUGCGAUAAGUAAUGUGAAUUGCAGAAUUCCGUGAAUCAUCGAAUCUUUGAACGCACAUUGCGCCCUCUGGUAUUCCGGGGGGCAUGCCUGUCCGAGCGUCAUUUGCAACCCUCAAGCCCGGCUUGUGUGAUGGGUGCCGUCCCCUACGGGACGCGCCCCGAAGGCAAUGGCGGCGUCGCGGUUAUCCGAUCAGCCAAAGUGUAUGGGGCUUUGUCACUCACUUUACGGCCCGGACCGGCGCCAGUCCGAAUCAAUCUUUUUUCUAAAGUUGACCUCGGAUCAGGUAGGGAUACCCGCUGAACUUAAGCAUAUCAAUAAGCGGAGG
rnacentral:misc_RNA from 1 species